GCCAACGUUCAUAUCACGUUGAAUACACCAGUUCUCGUCCGAUCACUGAAGUUAAGCAACGUUGAGCGUGGAUAGUACUUGGAUUACAGCAGUAUUGAUUUUGUAGCUC
rnacentral:rRNA from 1 species